rnacentral:rRNA from 1 species
GUAACUGCUUGUCCCUUGACGGUAUCUAACCAGAAAGCCACGGCUAACUACGUGCCAGCAGCCGCGGUAAUACGUAGGUGGCAAGCGUUGUCCGGAUUUAUUGGGCGUAAAGCGCGCGCAGGCGGUCUUUUAAGUCUGAUGUGAAAGCCCCCGGCUUAACCGGGGAGGGUCAUUGGAAACUGGAAGACUGGAGUGCAGAAGAGGAGAGUGGAAUUCCACGUGUAGCGGUGAAAUGCGUAGAUAUGUGGAGGAACACCAGUGGCGAAGGCGACUCUCUGGUCUGUAACUGACGCUGAGGCGCGAAAGCGUGGGGAGCAAACAGGAUUAGAUACCCUGGUAGUCCACGCCGUAAACGAUGAGUGCUAAGUGUUAGGGGGUUUCCGCCCCUUAGUGCUGCAGCUAACGCAUUAAGCACUCCGCCUGGGGAGUACGACCGCAAGGUUGAAACUCAAAGGAAUUGACGGGGGCCCGCACAAGCGGUGGAGCAUGUGGUUUAAUUCGAAGC